rnacentral:rRNA from 1 species
AGAUGGACCCGCGUUGGAUUAGCUAGUUGGUGGGGUAACGGCCCACCAAGGCGACGAUCCAUAGCCGGCCUGAGAGGGUGAACGGCCACAUUGGCACUGAGACACGGCCCAGACUCCUACGGGAGGCAGCAGUGGGGAAUAUUGCACAAUGGGGGAAACCCUGAUGCAGCGACGCCGCGUGAAGGAAGAAGUAUCUCGGUAUGUAAACUUCUAUCAGCAGGGAAGAAAAUGACGGUACCUGACUAAGAAGCCCCGGCUAACUACGUGCCAGCAGCCGCGGUAAUACGUAGGGGGCAAGCGUUAUCCGGAUUUACUGGGUGUAAGGGGAGCGUAGACGGAUGGACAAGUCUGAUGUGAAAGGCUGGGGCUCAACCCCGGGACUGCAUUGGAAACUGCCCGUCUUGAGUGCCGGAGAGGUAAGCGGAAUUCCUAGUGUAGCGGUGAAAUGCGUAGAUAUUAGGAGGAACACCAGUGGCGAAGGCGGCUUACUGGACGGUAACUGACGUUGAGGCUCGAAAGCGUGGGGAGCAAACAGGAUUAGAUACCCUGGUAGUCCACCCGGUAAACGAUGAAUGCUAGGUGU